rnacentral:rRNA from 1 species
GGGUGGAUGAGGAGAGAAUCCUAAGGCCGGCGGAAGAAGCAUUGUUAAGGAACUCGGCAAAAUGACCCCGUAACUUCGGGAGAAGGGGUGCCUGCUAACGCAGGCCGCAGAGAAUAGGCUCAAGCAACUGUUUAGCAAAAACACAGGUCUAUGCGAAACCGAAAGGUGAAGUAUAUGGGCUGACGCCUGCCCGGUGCUGAAGGUUAAGAGGAGAGGUUAGCGUAAGCGAAGCUUUGAAUUUAAGCCCCAGUAAACGGCGGCCGUAACUAUAACGGUCCUAAGGUAGCGAAAUUCCUUGUCGGGUAAGUUCCGACCCGCACGAAAGGCGUAAUGAUUUGAGCACUGUCUCGACAAUGCAUCCGGUGAAAUUGAAGUACCAGUGAAGAUGCUGGUUACCCGCGCCAGGACGGAAAGACCCCAUGGAGCUUUACUCCAGUUUGGUACUGGGAUUCGGUACUGCAUGUACAGGAUAGGUGGGAGACUAAGAACUUGGGACGCCAGUUUCAAGGGAGUCGCUGUUGGGAUACCACCCUUGCAGUAUUGGAUUUCUAACCAGCCGCCGUGAUCCGGCGGUGGGACAAUGCCAGGCGGGGAGUUUGACUGGGGCGGUCGCCUCCGAAAGGGUAUCGGAGGCGCUCAAAGGUUCCCUCAGAAUGGUUGGAAACCAUUUGAAGAGUGCAAAGGCAGAAGGGAGCUUGACUGCGACACCGACGGGUGGAGCAGGUAGGAAACUAGGACUUAGUGAUCCGGUGGCAUAAAGUGGGAUUGCCAUCGCUCAACGGAUAAAGGCUACCCUGGGGAUAACAGGCUUAUCACUCCCAAGAGUUCACAUCGACGGAGUGGUUUGGCACCUCGAUGUCGGCUCAUCGCAUCCUGGGGCUGUAGCAGGUCCCAAGGGUUGGGCUGUUCGCCCAUUAAAGCGGUACGCGAGCUGGGUUCAGAACGUCGUGAGACAGUUCGGUCCCUAUCCGGCGCGGGCGGAGGAUAUUUGAGAGGAGCUGUCCUUAGUACGAGAGGACCGGGAUGGACGGACCACUGGUGUAUCUGCUGUCGACCAACGGCAUGGCAGAGUAGCCAAGUCCGGAAGGGAUAAACGCUGAAGGCAUCUAAGCGUGAAGCCCCCCUCAAGAUGAGAUAUCCCUCACAUAAGUGAGUAAGAUCCCUUGAAGACUACAAGGUAGAUAGGGCAGAGGUGGAAGCACGGUAACGUGUGGAGCUGACUGUUACUAAUCGAUCGAGGGCUUGAGC